CGAUGGCUGAUUAGCUAGUUGGUGGGGUAAAGGCCUACCAAGGCGACGAUCAGUAGCUGGUCUGAGAGGACGACCAGCCACACUGGGACUGAGACACGGCCCAGACUCCUACGGGAGGCAGCAGUGGGGAAUUUUGGACAAUGGGCGAAAGCCUGAUCCAGCAAUGCCGCGUGUGUGAAGAAGGCCUUCGGGUUGUAAAGCACUUUUGUCCGGAAAGAAAUCCUUGGCUCAAUACAGUCGGGGGAUGACGGUACCGGAAGAAUAAGCACCGGCUAACUACGUGCCAGCAGCCGCGGUAAUACGUAGGGUGCGAGCGUUAAUCGGAAUUACUGGGCGUAAAGCGUGCGCAGGCGGUCUGUUAAGACAGAUGUGAAAUCCCCGGGCUCAACCUGGGAACUGCAUU
rnacentral:rRNA from 1 species